CCUACGGGAGGCAGCAGUGAGGAAUAUUGGUCAAUGGACGAGAGUCUGAACCAGCCAAGUCGCGUGAAGGAUGACUGCCCUAUGGGUUGUAAACUUCUUUUAUAAGGGAAUAAAACGAGGCACGUGUGCCUUUUUGCAUGUACUUUAUGAAUAAGGAUCGGCUAACUCCGUGCCAGCAGCCGCGGUAAUACGGAGGAUCCGAGCGUUAUCCGGAUUUAUUGGGUUUAAAGGGAGCGUAGAUGGGUUGUUAAGUCAGUUGUGAAAGUUUGUGGCUCAACCGUAAAAUUGCAAUUGAUACUGGAAGUCUUGAGUACAUUUGAGGUAAGCGGAAUUCGUGGUGUAGCGGUGAAAUGCUUAGAUAUCACGAAGAACUCCGAUUGCGAAGGCAGCUUACUAAACUGUGACUGACAUUGAUGCUCGAAAGUGUGGGUAUCAAACAGGAUUAGAUACCCGUGUAGUC
rnacentral:rRNA from 1 species